AUUGAACGCUGGCGGCAUGCUUUACACAUGCAAGUCGAACGGCAGCACGGGCUUCGGCCUGGUGGCGAGUGGCGAACGGGUGAGUAAUGCAUCGGAACGUGCCCAUGUUGUGGGGGAUAACUACGCGAAAGCGUGGCUAAUACCGCAUACGCCCUGAGGGGGAAGGCGGGGGGAUUCUUCGGAACCUCGCGCAAUUGGAGCGGCCGAUGUCAGAUUAGCUUGUUGGUGAGGUAAAGGCUCACCAAGGCGACGAUCUGUAGCGGGUCUGAGAGGAUGAUCAGCCACACUGGGACUGAGACACGGCCCAGACUCCUACGGGAGGCAGCAGU
rnacentral:rRNA from 1 species